AUUCACCUUACCCAAACACCGGUCAUUCUUGUGACGGUGCGUCAGAAUAAAAUUCCCGAAUGGAAACUGGAGCUAGAGUUUAGAGUUCUGGUUGUGAACCACGGAACAAAGAAAUCUGAGACUGAAAAUCCAGGCAACAGGGUUCCGUGGUAAUGGCCUGGUCACGGCACCUUGACAUGUGGCAGCAACUGAGGGAUCAGGGGUCACAAAUGCAGUCCUACUGGUGAGGAAGGGUUCCAGCAGUGACUGACAGGAGAGGAGGGCUCAUAGGUUCCCAUAUAGAGGAAGGGACUACCACAUGGUUCCUCUUUAAGAAGAUUGGAUCCAGCCCACUGCCUGGCUUUCAUUAUGCAAUCACCGCUCUGUACUUCCUGCAUCCAACCCACAGACUGACUAACUAGCCGUUGGGGACUUCCACUUCCAGCCACAGGACACCCGUUGGACCCAGAGAUGGACCGGCCACAGCCUGAACAACAGUGCUCUUUUCUGGGAUACAAACCUGGGGUGUGAGGCAUGAUGCUCCAGUCGUGCCCUCUCUCAUUAAAGAUCCUCAGUGAGGAUAUAGAAUGUCAACCGCAACAGAAGAGAGGGUGUCAUUUCCAUCUUUCUAUCUAACUGUUCGUUUUAAGUAUUCAUGAGAUGAGUCCUUUUUUUCCCUAGGAACUAGGCAUGUGCGACGUGUGCUAUUUAUAUGGUAAUAAUUUGAGAGGGGUGAAGUUACGGGUCCAUCAAUGGGUUGAACAUGUGUGAGACAGGUGCUGCGAUGGAGAUCUGGCCAAAACAAUCACGUUGCUACAGAAAGGACUGCCUAAUUGAGCUCUGUUUGUGUGGCAUGGCGCUGAACAAUGGCUCAUGGCUGGCAGAUGCAAUAGGGGGCCAGUAAUAUCGACAAAGCCCACAGAACAAUACCAGCAGGAGGACAAUGGAGGGUUACUGCAGAGAGCAGAGAUGACAGGAGGAGAGGAGACGAUACAGGAAUUAAAUGGGAAAUGGCAUUUCUAGUUUUUCACGACUGCCUUAUCGCCAGCGAUGGCCUGAAAACGGAAAUCGACUAACAAAAAUUAAAAGCGAGACUUUUGUCUGGACACCUCCCUGCAGCAAUUUCUGAGAUACUGGUAUUCUGAGUUAAUGUACCUGUCUGGCUCAAGGGGGAAAAGUAAUUCCCUAGUUCUAUACUGUACUCUCAGACUAUGGGGGAAACAUGUUCUGUUUCAUUUGACGAGAAAAGAAUGUCC